AUACGGAGGGUGCAAGCGUUAAUCGGAAUUACUGGGCGUAAAGCGUACGUAGGCGGUUCGUUAAGUUAGAUGUGAAAGCCCCGGGCUUAACCUGGGAACUGCGUUUAAAACUGGCGAACUAGAGUUGAGUAGAGGGGAGUGGAAUUUCAGGUGUAGCGGUGAAAUGCGUAGAGAUCUGAAGGAACACCAGUGGCGAAGGCGGCUCCCUGGACUCAAACUGACGCUGAGGUACGAAAGCGUGGGUAGCAAACGGGAUUAGAAACCCUUGUAGUCC
rnacentral:rRNA from 1 species